rnacentral:misc_RNA from 1 species
UUCAAAUUGCUCAUCUUGUUGAUCGAAUAAGACUAGAUUGUUUGUUUAAUAACGCUAUUCAGAAAUAGGGGCAAGUUAUUAUCCUCUUUCUUAAUCUAUAAUAAUAAUGUUUAACCUAGCUGUCACAAGAAAUGUUCAAAUAAAUCUUGGAAAUACCCUGCAUGAUAACCUGCCUGAAGAUCAACAAAUUUCGACAUUAGUUUCUCUUACAUGUGCCUUAAAAAUAUAACUGUGUAGGCGAUUUUAAAUAAUUGGGAAGGAGUGAUGAUGAUUCAAAAACCACAAACUAGGCAGAAAAUCUGGUGCAUUUAUUGAAAACAAAGUAGAGAAGUUUCAGUUUGUCACUCCAAUGGACGCGCUUGGAUGGUUCGUAAUUGGCUCAGAAGGAUAUGCAGUAAGAGCCGAGUCAGACGACGAGAAUUUUGUCAUUUACCUCACUGAUAUGACUUCAAUUUGGUGUGAACGACAAACAGCUACUGAGAUUAUGAAACGGUGUCAGGAAUUAAACCCUUUAAUCGAGUCGACAGUAAAACAUCUGAUCCAACAACUUCGCACAUUGCUAAAUAGCUAUUCGGAGAGUAAUAGUCUAACGAUAGUUUCAGUUGAUCAAAACAUCACAUUGAAACUAGAAUCUCACUUGGACGGUAAUCUACCCUUUUCUUGGGAAUUUCAUUUGACUUUGGAAACCGCUGAUCAGUUUCAAUCUUUUAUAAUUCGUCCAUUGUUGGCAAUGCUAAGAGAAGCAGCUUGCGUCGAAGAAGAGCUUUGCAACAUCAUCCGAAGCAAAGAUAAGCAAAUUGACGACUACAAAGCUUCAGGUGCAACCGUAUCCCGCCGUCACUUGGAAACCAAAGAAUUCAAUGCGGAAACAUUCUUCGCUUCACGUAUAACGCGCACUAUUGAAGAGAGCGCCAAAGAAAAAAUUACAUCUCUGUUCUGUAGAGUUGUUGAUAGAUUAAAACAGUUGUAUUCGGUUGCUGUCGAAAGGAUUUAUUUCCAAAGUUCAAUAGCACGUCGCUCAGCUUUAACUGUUCCAGACGUAUCUGCCGAAUUGACAGAAGAGAUUCCGAACAGAGGACAAACUUCAACACAAUCACCAGCCAAAGAGAGUGAAGAGAGCCGAUCAGAAGCCAUUAAAAAGCGAUUACGUGAAGAAGAACAGAAAGAGAUGGCCAAAAGAGCUAAAAAGGCGUGUUUAGCAAAAAUAUUGUAAAAUCCCUGCAUCGUACUCUUUGACACAGUCGUUAAAGUCAAAAGAUUAGCCUUCAUGCUAUAAGAUUGAAUGAAGAUGAGGUCCGUAGAGUGGCGAGUGCACAUCUCGAGUUGAAUUUAAUCGAGUCCCAAUGUUUCCAUUACAUUAUCUUACUGAUUUUUGUUCCAAAAUGGACAUGCAUACGUGUCUUAAUAUCUUUGCUUGUACGUUUUGGAUGUAACUUCAAAUUUCAAGAUUAAAUAAUAAGCACACGAUGUCAGAAAGAAAUAGCAGAUCUAAUCUAGCAAUGCGCAUCUAACAAGAGAUGUACGCUCAAGAUUUUCUUGGAGUGGCGGAGUACUAAAGCGGUAAUAUAAGCAUAAAAAGCAUCUAAUAAAUAUGUCUCGAACAAA